CACGUAGGAUUCGAGCGUUAUCCGAAUUUACUGGGCGUAAAGCGCGUGCAGGCGGUUUGAUAAGUUGGAUGUGAAAGCUCCCGGCUCAACUGGGAGAGGUCGUUCAAUACUGUCAGACUCGAGGAUGGUAGAGGGAGGUGGAAUUCCCGGUGUAGUGGUGAAAUGCGUAGAUAUCGGGAGGAACACCAGUGGCGAAGGCGGCCUCCUGGGCCAUUCCUGACGCUCAGACGCGAAAGCUAGGGGAGCGAACGGG
rnacentral:rRNA from 1 species